CCUCACGUUGCCCUCUCGACAUCACACAUUGCGCUUCCCUUCACUCUCUUCAGCUCUCUCUCUUUUCCCCUCACUACAUCUGUCUCUCUCACUCACUCCAGCUACCCUCCUCUCCACUAUUCUCUCUGAAAAAGAAAAUAAAAUUAAAAAAACUUUUUUUCCUCUCAAUCACCACCUACCUCACUUACAAAAUCCCUUUUCUCUCAUCGUCUCCACCACAAAACCAAAACGCUCCAUUGAGCUCGCCGCCAAACCCAGCCUCUUCUUCUCCGCUCAUCCAAAAGCCACCACGCGAAUCGUCGGCGCACCAACCAUCACGCUUCAAAUCCUCCAUAACUCUCACCUUCUCCGUUUCAUUUCAUCGCAACAAACUCACAAUCGCGCCUCCGGUGUGAACCACCACACGUCCACACCAAGCGACAACCGCACCAAACACCACUAGAUUCCCCUUCAACCUCAACAUCUUCCACUUCCUCCAACAACUAUAAACCCACUGGACCUACAACCUUCAUCAAAUCACCGGUAUCCUUUUCACCAUCGCCGGAAUCUCUUUCACCUUCGGACCCCCGCGAUUGCCGCCACCGUGCUAGCCACCUCUCCAACACCCUCAUCGCCGAAACCACCACUCACAAACAUUUCUUCUCCGCCGCCUGCCCGCCUUUGAACAACAGCAGUAUUAUUUGCAACUCGAUUGCUUGCAAAUGUAAUACAAGUUGGUGGUUUUCCUUAUGAUUUGAUAUCUCAUAUUCCAAAUAAACCACACACCAAAUUGCAGUAAAUUUUUAAAUUUCAUUUUGUUCUCUACGGUAAACCAUUGGAAUUGCUUAUGUAAAAACAAUUUUGGAAGUCCAGAAUUCCUAUCCCGAUGCUCUAAGUGUGGUUGUGUAUGGUAUUAUUGUAUGGGUGUAAAUCGCUCUAGGACAGUGGGAGUGUCUUUAGUUGGUAUAUGGAUUAUAACUUAGUAUGAAAAUAUUGUAAAUAUUAUGAGUAAUUUUACAUGUUUCUCCAUGUGGAGGGUUUGUGAGAGAUAACAGAAAAUAUGAGUAUUUGAGACUUAUUCCUUUU